rnacentral:rRNA from 1 species
AUGGCGAAGAUCGCCGCCGGCCUGGCUCUCAUCGCGCUGCUCGGCUGCACGGCGCGUACCUGCCAAGCAGGGUACGGCUAUCCCACCCCGGUCCCGUCCACGCCGAGCACACCUAGUCCUCCGCCGCCAUAUACCCCUAGCACACCCAGUCCUCCGCCACCCACCCCUGCAACACCCAGUCCCCCACCGCCAUACACCCCGAGCACACCUAGCCCUCCACCGCCCACCCCAGCUACCCCAACCGAAGGACUCGCGGUCGGCUACUACAAGAAGUCAUGCCCUCGCGCGGAAGACAUCGUAAGGGAAGUUGUGCGGGAUGCCAACGCCGGUAUCAUGGCUGGACUCAUACGUCUCUUCUUCCACGACUGCUUCGUCAGGGGUUGUGAUGCCUCCGUGCUUCUCGAUCAAGUGGACCCCAACAGCCCAACAGAGAAGUUUGGCAUCCCGAACCUGAGCCUGCGUGGCUUCGAGGUGAUCGAUGCCGCCAAGGCUAGAAUCGAGAAGGAGUGUGGGAGCGACGUCGUCUCGUGUGCUGAUGUUGUGGCCUUCGCCGGGCGCGAUGCCACCUACUUCCUAAGCAACAAGAAGGUCUACUUCGACAUGCCAGCUGGCCGUUACGAUGGACUUGUUUCCUUCAUUAAUGAGACACUCCCCAAUCUGCCACCACCCUUCGCCACCGUGGACCAGCUCAAGGCCAACUUCGCCUCCAAGGGGCUGACUGCUGAUGAGAUGGUCACACUCUCUGGUGCACACACAAUUGGAAUCUCCCAUUGCUCGUCCUUCACCUCAUCCUUCUCCGACCGCCUCAACCCAAGCACCUCUGACAUGGACCCCACGCUAAUGAGUUCUCUCCGCGAGCAAUGCAAGUCAGACACAGGAACUGACAACACCGUGGUGCAGGAUAUCAAGACCCCUAACAAGGUCGACAACAAAUACUACAAGAACGUGCUUAGCCACGAGGUGCUCUUCAGUUCGGAUGCCGCGCUCAUGAUGGCAGAUGAUACAAGUGCAGCGGUGCGUGCCAAUGCCAAGGACAAUGGUGUGUGGGAGGAGAAGUUCAAGGAAGCAAUGGUAAGGAUGGGCGCCAUCGACGUCAAGACCAAUCUCAAUGGUGAGAUCAGAAGGAAAUGUGGCGUCGUCAACUCACACUGA